GACGGAAGGUGCAAGCGUUGCUCGGAAUCACUGGGCGUAAAGGGUGCGUAGGCGGCUUGGUAAGUUGGGUGUGAAAGCCCCGGGCUCAGCCCGGGAAGGGCACUCGAAACUGCCGAGCUGGAGUGCCGGAGGGGAGAGUGGAAUUCCUGGUGUAGCGGUGAAAUGCGUAGAUAUCAGGAGGAAUACCGGUGGCGAAAGCGGGUUGCUGGGCUGACACUGACGCUGAAGCGCGAAAGCUAGGGGAGCGAACGGG
rnacentral:rRNA from 1 species